ACUGACAGCCAUGGUUACCGCGGCUGCUGGCACGGAGUUAGCCGGUGCUUCUUCUGCGAGUAACGUCACAGAAUGUAAGGUAUUAACUUACACCCUUUCCUCCUCGCUGAAAGUGCUUUACAACCCGAAGGCCUUCUUCACACACGCGGCAUGGCUGCAUCAGGGUUUUCCCCCAUUGUGCAAUAUUCCCCACUGCUGCCUCCCGUAGGAGUCUGGGCCGUGUCUCAGUCCCAGUGUGGCUGGAUCAUCCUCUCACGACCAGCUAGGGAUCGUCGCCUAGGUGAGCCUUUACCUCACCUACUAGCUAAUCCCACCUGGGCUUAUCCAUCAGCGCAAGGCCCCGAAGGUCCCCCUGCUUUCCCCCGUACGGGCGUAUGCGGUAUUAGCAGUCGUUUCCAACUGUUAUCCCCCACCAAAU
rnacentral:rRNA from 1 species